UGAUGGCCUACCAAGGCGACGACGGGUAGCCGGCCUGAGAGGGCGACCGGCCACACUGGGACUGAGACACGGCCCAGACUCCUACGGGAGGCAGCAGUGGGGAAUAUUGCACAAUGGGCGGAAGCCUGAUGCAGCGACGCCGCGUGAGGGAUGACGGCCUUCGGGUUGUAAACCUCUUUCAGCAGGGAAGAAGCGCAAGUGACGGUACCUGCAGAAGAAGCACCGGCUAACUACGUGCCAGCAGCCGCGGUAAUACGUAGGGUGCGAGCGUUGUCCGGAAUUAUUGGGCGUAAAGAGCUCGUAGGCGGCUUGUCGCGUCGGAUGUGAAAGCCCGGGGCUUAACUCCGGGUCUGCAUUCGAUACGGGCAGGCUAGAGUGUGGUAGGGGAGAUCGGAAUUCCUGGUGUAGCGGUGAAAUGCGCAGAUAUCAGGAGGAACACCGGUGGCGAAGGCGGAUCUCUGGGCCAUUACUGACGCUGAGGAGCGAAAGCGUGGGGAGCGAACAGGAUUAGAUACCCUGGUAGUCCACGCCGUAAACGUUGGGAACUA
rnacentral:rRNA from 1 species